CCCCUGUCUGUCGUGGCUCGCUCCGGAUCCCUCGCCGCCUUGCCAUCAGUCCGCCCUCCAGCUGCUAACCACCCGCCAUCCUCGUGAACACUCGGCCUCAGUUUCCCUCACCUUCCCCUCCCCGUUCCUCCGGCAUUGACGUUCAGACCUCGACGGAUCUCCACACCCGUGCAAUCCCUGUACCUGAACUCUUUAAUAAACACCUUUAAACUGCA